rnacentral:rRNA from 1 species
CUUUUAUGGAGAGUUUGAUCCUGGCUCAGGACGAACGCUGGCGGCGUGCCUAAUACAUGCAAGUCGAGCGGAUUG